rnacentral:rRNA from 1 species
UACCAGCACCCCGAGUGGUCGGGACGAUUAUUGGGCCUAAAAGCAUCCGUAGCCGGUUUUACAAGUCCUCCGUUAAAUCCAGCUGCUUAACAGAUGGGCUGCGGAGGAUACUAUAAGACUAGGAGGCAGGAGAGGCAAGCGGUACUCAGUGGGUAGGGGUAAAGUCCGUUGAUCCAUUGAAGACCACCAGUGGCGAAGGCGGCUUGCCAGAAUGCGCUCGACGGUGAGGGAUGAAAGCUGGGGGAGCAAACCGG